rnacentral:rRNA from 1 species
CCUACGGGUGGCAGCAGUGGGGAAUAUUGGACAAUGGGCGAAAGCCUGAUCCAGCCAUGCCGCGUGUGUGAAGAAGGCCUUCGGGUUGUAAAGCACUUUCAGUGGGGAAGAAAGCCUUGGGGCUAAUACCCUCGAGGAAGGACAUCACCCACAGAAGAAGCACCGGCUAACUCCGUGCCAGCAGCCGCGGUAAUACGGAGGGUGCGAGCGUUAAUCGGAAUUACUGGGCGUAAAGCGCGCGUAGGCGGUCUGAUAAGCCGGUUGUGAAAGCCCCGGGCUCAACCUGGGAACGGCAUCCGGAACUGUCAGGCUAGAGUGCAGGAGAGGAAGGUAGAAUUCCCGGUGUAGCGGUGAAAUGCGUAGAGAUCGGGAGGAAUACCAGUGGCGGAGGCGGCCUUCUGGACUGACACUGACGCUGAGGUGCGAAAGCGUGGGUAGCAAACAGGAUUAGAUACCCUAGUAGUC